rnacentral:rRNA from 1 species
GUGACCUCAAAUCAGGUAGGACUACCCGCUGAACUUAAGCAUAUCAAUAAGCGGAGGAAAAGAAACUAACAAGGAUUCCCCUAGUAACUGCGAGUGAAGCGGGAAAAGCUCAAAUUAAAAUCUGUCAGUCUUUGAUGG